rnacentral:lncRNA from 1 species
AAAAGGUGCUUGAACUGUCGCUGGCUGGAGAUCACCAACAACAAGGAGAGCAGGGACUCAUGUUCCACCCAACCAGGCCAAGCUCUUUGACCCAGUGAUGUCAUCUAUGAUGUCACUACCGCCUCAUCGGCACUGCCUGUUUUUGGUCUGAAUGAGAUGUGCCUUAUAAGUCCCAAGCCUGUGACUACUGGGCUCACAGUUGGUGGCUGUUGGAGGAGAAUUAGAAGGGAAAUAUAGCUAACGAUGGGACUGCUGGUGAUGAACGCCCAAACUGCAGGACUGGGGGAUGGCUCACUGGAGAAAUCAGUUGUCAGACAGAGUCCAGAUCACUGGGAUGGAUAUAGAAAAAAACAGUGGGACAAACAGCCACGUGUCUUUAGUGAGCAACCUGUACAUUCCGCCUACCAACAAGGCGAGAGCGAUCCUGUUGGAGCCACAGAAGGCACCGAAUUCUUCAGAGCAUCAAUGACUGUGUGAAAAAGCCUUGACUCGGUAUCAGUGGAAACAAUUCUCAUUAAUGUUGCCUAACAUUUUUGUAGAUGAAUGUUGACAAAAUUAAAGACUCUGAGGGCUGCUGAAUAAAUCUGGGGUUGCCUAAGAUCUGGAAUAGGCAGACGUUAUUAUACACAACACCUUCCUGGUGUGAAAAGGAAAUAAGGCAGUUUACAGUGGAAGGAUUUCCUUGCUUUCCCCCUCCUCCUCAGGAGAGGGGUACAAUCAGUGUUUAUUUAAUCAAAUGUGUUAACUUUUUAAAAAAUAAAUUCACUGUAUUAUAAAUAUAAAUUCAUUUAUUGCAUGUAUAAAUCCCGCUUUAAGUGUUUUGGAGUCACAAUGUGUGUUGAGCACUUUUUAAGUCUCUCUCCUUGACAUUGAAGACAAAAGUUCUCUCUCUCUCUCUC